rnacentral:tRNA from 1 species
GUUGUCGCGGUCGAGUGGUUAAGGCGAUGGACUAGAAAUGUUUUUGGAUCGUCCAGCGCAGGUUCGAAUCCUGCCGACAUCG